rnacentral:lncRNA from 1 species
CGAGGACAGUCGAAACGCGCCGGGUGCUGCUCCGUCCGCCCGCCUGUCCGUCCGCCGUGCGUCCUGAACCCGAUUCCUCCGCCGACCGCGUCCUCCGCUUUCCAACCGGUGCUGGUGUCACCAGUGGGUGACAUUCCCUACAGAGGGGAACUUUGAAACCACACCAUGGCCUUAGCGGGAUGCCCUGACUACUUUCUACGUCACUCAAACUACCAGGAAAGCAUGGACCGCACUUCUUCUCGCAGGCCUGAGGAGCUGAUUGUUCCUGGCUUUCAGUGC